GACGAACGCUGGCGGCGUGCUUAACACAUGCAAGUCGAACGGAAAGGCCCUGCUUUUGUGGGGUGCUCGAGUGGCGAACGGGUGAGUAACACGUGAGUAACCUGCCCUUGACUUUGGGAUAACUUCAGGAAACUGGGGCUAAUACCGGAUAGGAGCUCCUGCUGCAUGGUGGGGGUUGGUAUGUUUCGGCGGUUGGGGAUUGACUCGCGGCUUAUCAGCUUGUUGUUGUGGUAGUGGCUUACCAAGGCUUUGACGGGUAGCCGGCCUGAGAGGGUGACCGGCGACAUUGGGACGGAGAUACGGACCAGAAGCCUACGGGAGGCAGAAGGGGGGAAUAGUGCACAAUGGGCGGAAGCCUGAUGCAGAAACGCCGCGUGCGGGAUGACGGCCUUCGGGUUGUAAACCGCUUUCGCAUGUGACGAAGCGUGAGUGACGGUAAUGGGUAAAGAAGCACCGGCUAACUACGUG
rnacentral:rRNA from 1 species